rnacentral:rRNA from 1 species
UUGAGGCGUGGCUUCCGGAGCUAACGCGUUAAAUCGACCGCCUGGGGAGUACGGCCGCAAGGUUAAAACUCAAAUGAAUUGACGGGGGCCCGCACAAGCGGUGGAGCAUGUGGUUUAAUUCGAUGCAACGCGAAGAACCUUACCUGGUCUUGACAUCCACAGAAGAGGUGCCUUCGGGAACUGUGAGACAGGUGCUGCAUGGCUGUCGUCAGCUCGUGUUGUGAAAUGUUGGGUUAAGUCCCGCAACGAGCGCAACCCUUAUCCUUUGUUGCCAGCGGUUAGGCCGGGAACUCAAAGGAGACUGCCAGUGAUAAACUGGAGGAAGGUGGGGAUGACGUCAAGUCAUCAUGGCCCUUACGACCAGGGCUACACACGUGCUACAAUGGCGCAUACAAAGAGAAGCGACCUCGCGAGAGCAAGCGGACCUCAUAAAGUGCGUCGUAGUCCGGAUUGGAGUCUGCAACUCGACUCCAUGAAGUCGGAAUCGCUAGUAAUCGUAGAUCAGAAUGCUACGGUGAAUACGUUCCCGGGCCUUGUACACACCGCCCGUCACACCAUGGGAGUGGGU